CACGUAGGGUGCGAGCGUUGUCCGGAAUUAUUGGGCGUAAAGAGCUCGUAGGCGGUGUGUCGCGUCGGCCGUGAAAACCUGCAGCUUAACUGUGGGCUUGCGGUCGAUACGGGCAUCACUGGAGUUCGGCAGGGGAGACUGGAAUUCCUGGUGUAGCGGUGAGAUGCGCAGAUAUCAGGAGGAACACCGGUGGCGAAGGCGGGUCUCUGGGCCGAUACUGACGCUGAGGAGCGAAAGCGUGGGGAGCGAACAGG
rnacentral:rRNA from 1 species